ensembl:lncRNA uncharacterized LOC115003793
GUCUGUAACAAAAGAAGUGGGUGGGCACUUUCUUAUCAAGUUGACACUCAUUGGCUCAUGAAGGUUGUAAAAGACCCAUCGAAGCUCCGAUUGGCUCAAAUGAAGUGUCCAUCUAAUGCUGAGAGCCCGCGCUAAAACCAGGAAGUGUCUGAACCGUGAUGAGAGCACAAGAUAUUAAGUUAUGACUGUUUAUGAUCACACAAUGUAAAAAUCGAUCAGCUGAUUUCACAGAUUGCAACACCUGUUCAUGGACUUUUAUCGAUGUGACGAUGUUCACAGUGGAUAUCUUUUUCACGGAAACGAACGUGUGGACCUCUGGCAAUGCCUUAGGAGCGUCUUUUUCAAAAUAUUGCUGAAAAGAGGAUAUUUAUGAGGCUUUAUAGAGAGACGACACAUAUUCAAAAAUCUUCAAAAAGAAUUUAACCAAGAAACCUUAAACAUGAAGUUUGUGAGAGAGUGCCCUGUGUGCCUGAACGAAUACUCCCAGCUGGGCAAGCACCUCAGACAGACACACAGAGUCAAGAAUGAGACAGAGAGGAAAAUCCUCCUCAAGCUGGGCUCUGGAAGAACAGACGUCAGGACUGAACGUUGCAGCGUUGGAGGAUGUGACUACCAGGGGUCCCGGCUUGACCGCCACAUACGUGAAAUUCACUCGGAGAUGACUGUAGAGGAGAGGGCCAAGAUGAUGGAGAUCACAAAGCAGAUGAAAGCCAUCAAAGAAUUGGCAGCGCUGCGGAUGACGGACCCGGUGCCAGCAAUGGCCACAUAUCUGGAUCCAGUUGAUGAAGAAACAGAAGUCUUGUGUCUGGGAGAUGAUGAGGCUCCCCGCGACUGUGGGAAUGAGGAGUGCGGUGAGGUGAGGAGAGGAUACGUCAGGGAGUUGGCCAGGCUCACGACUCUGCAUGACCAAACAUUGCAGGACAUGGGAGCCCUGAGACUACAGAUCCAGCUGCUGAAGAGGAAGCUCGCUGACAGUCGCUACCAAGUGAUGAUACCACACAGCAGGAGAGCAAGAGCAAGGAGGGAGGCUGCUGUGGAACAGCUGUUUCGAAACUCAGAGGAGGUUGCGGAGGAGGACGUGGAGGACGUUGUUGCUGUUGCAGAGGACGUUGUUGCAGAGGACGUUGCGGAGGAAGCAACUCUGCCAGCCCCCAACAAGGAGGAACAGGUGUACAUCCCGAAGCAGAGGAAAGCGACAAGUAGGAACGUUAAUUCCCCCUGGAUGGCUGGCAGCGGACGGGGAAAUGUGAUGAGGAGAAUUAAGAUGCCUCCUUCCAUGGAAGAGUACCUCCAAAACUUUGGUAAGUUACAUGAGGGCACCAAUCCAACUAGGAAAAUGAGAGAAAACGCGAAGUCGAAAGUGAGCCGUGUGAAAACCUUCAUUUUAUUCAUGGGAAAUAAACACAAGAGGUUGUCCGACUGGCUGUUCAUGGACAACCCCGUCAAGCUGAAAAAAUGGUGUAAUAAGCUUGCAAGGGGCAUGCAGGAGACCACGGUGGAGUUCUACUUAAAAAACAAUUUGCAGUUUUUGAAUUACAUGCAGCAGACUCCGCCGCGGUCAUCUAGGCUCACAAAGGUCAACAUGACCGCUGUCAUACGAGACAUAAAAGUCGCCCUGAAAAGCCUGAAGAGGUUGCUGGUGGUCCACCAAACGUCAGUUAAGCAGGAGAAAUACUCUAAGCUGCCAGGGUGUGAGGCCAUCACUGAGAAGGAGGAGGGAAUAGUGUAAAUGUGUAAAUAUAGUGUUUAAUGUGUUAAAAUAAAUAGUUGAAUUUGAAUUGCUCUUGUGUUAAUUUCUCCUUAUUUGAAUAAUUGUGCCUCUUG